rnacentral:rRNA from 1 species
CCUACGGGUGGCAGCAGUGAGGAAUAUUGGUCAAUGGCCGGAAGGCUGAACCAGCCAAGCCGCGUGAAGGACGAAGGUGCCAAGCAUUGUAAACUUCUUUUGUCAAGGGACAAAAUCAGGCUCGAGAGCCUGACCGAGGGUACUUGAAGAAAAAGCAUCGGCUAACUCCGUGCCAGCAGCCGCGGUAAUACGGAGGAUGCGAGCGUUAUCCGGAUUUAUUGGGUUUAAAGGGUGCGUAGGCGGGCUGUUAAGUCAGCGGUAAAAGCCCGGGGCUCAACCCCGGCGAGCCGUUGAAACUGGCUGUCUUGAGAUGUCGAGAGGUAUGCGGAAUGCGCAGUGUAGCAGUGAAAUGCGUAGAUAUCGAGAGGAACACUCGUGGCGAAGGCGGGUUCCUGGACAUUAACUGACGCUGAGGCACGAAGGCCAGGGGAGCGAAAGGGAUUAGAUACCCGUGUAGUC